rnacentral:lncRNA from 1 species
GGCUCGAUUGCAAAGGGGGCUCCCAAGGGAGAGGGGGCAUCGCAGCAGGGCAAGGCGCUGGGCUCCUCUCCCCAGAGAGGGACGCAGCGCUGUGUGGGGAGGCCGAGCUGCGGCCCUGGGGGGACAGCAGAGAGCUCCCGAGGCCGGGCUCGGAGCUGGGCUCCGAGCAGGGCUCCCUGGACAUUCCGGGCGGGAAGGAGAGAAGCUGCGCUAAGUGGCGAGCAGGUGCCUGGUUCCCAAGCAUUUAUCAGGGCCCAAGCAUUCACACAAUCACUUCCGGGGCCAAGCGUUCACACAAUCACUUCCGGGCCCAAGCGUUCAUAUAUCACCUCUCGGGCCAAGGUGGGAAUUUGGCAGAGCUGCGCCUGACUCUGCCAUGGUGAACGAGGGGGACAUUGUCUAAGCCACAGGGGAAGCAUGUGUCCUUCCUCGCUGGACAUCAUUUUCCAGAGCACAAAAGGGUGUGGGGCUCUCUUAACCUUGGGGUAAAAAUCCCACGUUGUGAAAACAUGAACACAGGUGCUAGGAAUACCUGGGCUUCUGGCCAGCCUCGGGCUUUUAAAUCCAACGUGGACUCACCCCAUCGGAGGAGGGAAGGACAGAAGCCAGGGAGCCUGGGUCCCCGUGGACGGCCGCGCAGCUGUCCCUGCUGCCAGGAUCGCUCUGCCCGGAGCCCAGGGUGGGCGCUGUCUGCUGAAGGCCGCGGUGAGAGAGUGAUCUCAGCUCAGAGGCUCAAGGGAGCAGCUGCACAGCUGCAGCUUACCGGUGGCAGCAGGGCCGGGGAACCCUGGAAAUGGGAGCCAUUUCAAGACCAGGGAACCGGGAGGAAACGGGACAAAGAUCUCGGGUUCUACUCAGUCACCUCCACCGCCUUCUCGAGCCAUGGAAAGAAAAGGUCCAGGAAUCAGCAGAGGGAAGCUAGGGAGAGACAUAAAACCAAGGAAAUUUUGAGAUACUACCAACAACUGGCCAAUGGCACAGGAACGGACAAUAAAACAAUGGUAAGAGAAUAGGACAUCCAGAAAGAGAACUCGUGGGCUUGAUGUGUGAAAGAGAUGGCAGCAGUGCACUGGAGAAAAGAGAAAUUGUUUGAUAAAUGGUGUGGAGAAAAUUGGCUUACCAUAUGGAGACGAUAAAAUUAAAUCAGAACUCAGCACACACACACAGCAAAGUACUCGCUGUGGUUUAUGUUUCUUGAUCUUGGGCUUCUGAUUCAGAGGCAGAAAGCUAAGGAGAGACAAACUUUCAAGCAGCUUGGCUUCCUACAUGAGCACAUAAGAUCUACCACUGCUUGCCUCUGCCUCUCUCUCUCUCUCUCUCUCUCUCUCUCUCUCCACUACUGGGCCUUCACAGUGAAUUACAUCCCCAGUCCUUUUUCCUUUUCUUUUGUUUUUUUUAUUUUGACAGAGGCUUUCUCUAAGCCAUUAAGUUGCCCAAGCAGGGCUCAAUUCCUUCUCUUGGCCCUGUCAUUCAUAGGAAUUUCUCUCCAGUUCUCACAAUGGGCCAAUCCUGUACAUGGACCUUAGCACAUGGUAUUGUGAAUUGUCAAAAAAAUAUUUUUUUGGUCUUCAUAAAUAUUUUUACUGUGAAGUUGGAAAAACCCACACAAGCAGCUGAUAACCACAUGCAGGCUUAACUACACCCAACUUUUGGUUAUUAAAUCCAACAUAUCAGCAGCUGCAUUGUUCACAAAUUUGAUUUUCAUAUCUUUGUUUUCAUUCAAGUUCACAGCAAAAAUAUUUGAAUAAGUCAAGGUCAUGCAUAUAGCUGUCAGACAAAUCAUUAGGCUGAUAGGAACUCAUCGACUGAUCAACAAUGCUUAGGCAAGUCACUUCCUGAGUCCUUUCCUUUGUGUCCCCUCUCUCUUUAGCUGAAGUCUCUGGGCCUGGCCUCCCUGCGUGUCUAGGAGCAGUACUAGAACUUGAAGGUCUUCAUACCAAAACUCAAGAACUCAGCAAUGAGUCAUGAUUCCUCCUGCCAUAGUACUGGCCUUAGUCUAAAGGCUACCAAAUGAGCUUCCACUAUAUGGCUUUUCAUAAGUUACUGCCUCAAUAAAAUGAUUUAUUUUUUUAAAAAAUUUCUAUUAUCUUAUGACUGGGGAAACUUCCAGUUUAAAAAAAAAAUGCUUAAACUUUAGGAUUUUUUCAUCUGUUUCCCAUAUAUCCCCUUAUAGAGACUUUAUCCCUGUUAUGCCCCAAUACAAAAAUUAAAAGUCUUAACCUGUUGAAUUCUCUGUGGUACCAACUCUGGCCUGUCUAGGUCUCCAAUUAUCAUUUGCACCUGAUCCCUGGAACCCUGUUGGUUUUGUAGGGUGCCCCACCAUUUACAUUACACGCUGCCAACCUCCUUCAUCCUAUUUGCUUGCCUCGUUCCAUUACCCAUUUGGUAUCUGUCACAGAAACUUUAUUUUUUCAUUUAAGUUUUGGAACUUGGCAAUUUAUUAUUGAAUACAUUCAUGGAGUAUGAAAUGAUAUAACUUGUGAAUACAAUAUGAAAUAAUGAAAUCCAGCCAAUCAAUAUAUCUAUCAUCUCAAAUAAUUGUCAUCAUCAUUGAUAUUUGUGUGUAUUUUUGGAUCCUUUUGCAUUUAGGCAAGUGCUCUGCUACUGAACUAUGGCCUCAGCCUAAUAUUUAUCAUCUUUGUAGUGAAAACAUCUGAAAUUUACUUUCUUAGCAAUUUUUAAAUGUACAGUAUGGAAGGGGAAAGGAAAGAAGGGAAAGGAAAAAUUAUGAGAAAAGAAAAAAAUGGAAAUGAUGUCUAUGUAAAUAGGGAAGGGUGGAGGGGAUGAAGGGGUAGGGGUAGUGGGAGGGGCAGGGCAAAGGAAAGAAGGGAAGGGGAUGAAGGGCGCACAAGUAAUGGGGAAAAAAUAAGAAUCAAGAUACAUCAUGCACAGGGACAGGCACCCAAUGAUAAAUGUAAAUGAAUUGUAUACCUAAAAUGUACCAAUAAAAGAACUUAAGAAUAAAAAAAGUACAGUAU